rnacentral:tRNA from 1 species
GUCAGUGUGGCUUAGUGGUUAGAGCAUGGGCCUGGGAGUUGAGGAGCUGGGUUCUGAUCCCAGCUCUGCCA